rnacentral:rRNA from 1 species
CCUACGGGUGGCAGCAGUGAGGAAUAUUGGUCAAUGGGCGCGAGCCUGAACCAGCCAAGUAGCGUGAAGGAUGACUGCCCUACGGGUUGUAAACUUCUUUUAUAAAGGAAUAAAGUGAGGCACGUGUGCCUUUUUGAAUGUACUUUAAUAAUAAGGAUCGGCUAACUCCGUGCCAGCAGCCGCGGUAAUCCGGAGGAUCCGAGCGUUAUCCGGGUUUUUUGGGUUUAAAGGGAGCGUAGAGGGGUUGUUAAGUCAGGUGUGAACGUUUGCGGCUCAACCGUAAAAUGGCAAUUGAUACUGGCAGUCUUGAGAACAGUCGAGGUAUGCGGAAUUCGUGGUGUAGCGGUGAAAUGCUGAGAUAUCACGAAGAACUCCGAUUGCGAAGGCAGCUUACUAAACUGCCACUGACAUUGAUGCUCGAAAGUGUGGGUAUCAAACAGGAUUAGAUACCCUUGUAGUC